CAUAAUUCGCCCCGAUUCGGUGGAGGCGCGUUCGGCAGCACGGCCUCCAGGGAACACGGUGCGGGGCAACCCAAUUCCGUGGCGGGCCCGCCGCUGUAACCGGGGACAACGCUUGCACGAAGCCACUGGGGUAAUGCCCGGGAAGGCGCAAGCGAAGGACGAUCCGGAAGCCAGAAGACCGACCGAUGAUUUUCAACAGCC
rnacentral:ncRNA from 2 species